rnacentral:rRNA from 1 species
AGCGAACGCUGGCGGCAGGCUUAACACAUGCAAGUCGAGCGGGCACUUUCGGGUGUCCGCGGCGGACGGGUGAGUAACGCGUGGGAACGUGCCCUCUGGUUCGGAAUAACUCAGGGAAACUUUAGCUAAUACCGGAUACGCCCUUUUGGGGAAAGGCUUGCUGCCGGAGGAUCGGCCCGCGUCUGAUUAGCUAGUUGGUGAGGUAACGGCUCACCAAGGCGACGAUCAGUAGCUGGUCUGGGAGGAUGAUCAGCCACACUGGGACUGAGACACGGCCCAGACUCCUACGGGAGGCAGCAGUGGGGAAUAUUGGACAAUGGGCGCAAGCCUGAUCCAGCCAUGCCGCGUGAGUGAUGAAGGCCUUAGGGUUGUAAAGCUCUUUUAUCCGGGACGAUAAUGACGGUACCGGAGGAAUAAGCCCCGGCUAACUUCGUG